GGUUGUGGCUCAGUGGUAGAGCUCUUGCCUAGCACGUGUGAGGCACUGGGUUCAAUCCUCAGCACCA
rnacentral:tRNA from 1 species